GUCUCUGUGGCGCAAUCGGUUAGCGCGUUCGGCUGUUAACUUGAAAGGUUGGUGGUUCAAGCCCACCCAGGGACG
rnacentral:tRNA from 1 species